rnacentral:tRNA from 1 species
GGUGUUGUGGUCUAGUGGACAAGUCACCUGACUGUAGAUCAAAAUGUAUGGGGUUCAAACCCCCACCACACAA